rnacentral:rRNA from 1 species
UAACUGAAGAGUUUGAUCAUGGCUCAGAUUGAACGCUGGCGGCAGGCUUAACACAUGCAAGUCGAGCGGGGGAAGGUAGCUUGCUACCGGACCUAGCGGCGGACGGGUGAGUAAUGCUUAGGAAUCUGCCUAUUAGUGGGGGACAACAUCUCGAAAGGGAUGCUAAUACCGCAUACGUCCUACGGGAGAAAGCAGGGGAUCUUCGGACCUUGCGCUAAUAGAUGAGCCUAAGUCGGAUUAGCUAGUUGGUGGGGUAAAGGCCUACCAAGGCGACGAUCUGUAGCGGGUCUGAGAGGAUGAUCCGCCACACUGGGACUGAGACACGGCCCAGACUCCUACGGGAGGCAGCAGUGGGGAAUAUUGGACAAUGGGGGGAACCCUGAUCCAGCCAUGCCGCGUGUGUGAAGAAGGCCUUAUGGUUGUAAAGCACUUUAAGCGAGGAGGAGGCUACU